GACGAACGCUGGCGGCGUGCUUAACACAUGCAAGUCGAACGGAAAGGCCCUGCUUUUGUGGGGUGCUCGAGUGGCGAACGGGUGAGUUACACGUGAGUAACCUGUCCCUGACUUUGGGAUAUCUUCAUGCAACUUGGGCUAAUACCGCAUAGGAGCUCCUGCUGCAUGGUGGGGGUUGGAUAGUUUCGGCGGUUGGGGAUGGACUCGCGGCUUAUCAGCUUGUUGGUGGGGUAGUGGCUUACCAAGGCUUUGACAGGUAGCCGGGCUGAGCGGGUAACCGGCCACGCUGGGAUGGGACUGCGGCACGGACUCGUAUGGGACGCAAGGGUGCGGAAUAGAGCACAGUAGGAGGGAGGCAGGUGUAACCACGCCGCGUGGGGGAUGAGGGGAAGCGGGUAGUAAACCAAUGUCGCCUGUGACGGGGUGUGAGUGACGGUAAUGGGUAAAGAAGCACCGGCUAACUACGUG
rnacentral:rRNA from 1 species